rnacentral:rRNA from 1 species
GCUCCUGCUUCUGGAGUGAGCCCGCGUCCCAUCAGCUAGUUGGUAGGGUAAUGGCCUACCAAGGCUACGACGGGUAGCUGGUCUAAGAGGAUGGCCAGCCACACUGGAACUGAGACACGGUCCAGACUCCUACGGGAGGCAGCAGUGGGGAAUCUUGCGCAAUGGGCGAAAGCCUGACGCAGCGACGCCGCGUGGGUGACGAAGGCCUUCGGGUUGUAAAGCCCUGUGGGGUAGAACGAACUGGCAUCGGGCUAAUAUCCCGGUGUCUUGACGGUACUGCCUUAGCAAGCAUCGGCUAACUCUGUGCCAGCAGCCGCGGUAAGACAGAGGAAGUGCAUCCGAAACUGACGGGCUAGAGUACGGAAGAGGGUUUCGGAAUUCCCGGUGUAGAGGUGAAAUUCGUAGAUAUCGGGAGG